rnacentral:rRNA from 1 species
GAUGAACGCUGGCGGCGUGCCUAAUACAUGCAAGUCGAGCGAACAGAUGAGGAGCUUGCUCCUCUGACGUUAGCGGCGGACGGGUGAGUAACACGUGGAUAACCUACCUAUAAGACUGGGAUAACUUCGGGAAACCGGAGCUAAUACCGGAUAAUAUAUUGAACCGCAUGGUUCAAUAGUGAAAGACGGUUUUGCUGUCACUUAUAGAUGGAUCCGCGCCGCAUUAGCUAGUUGGUAAGUUAACGGCUUACCAAGGCAACGAUGCGUAGCCGACCUGAGAGGGUGAUCGGCCACACUGGAACUGAGACACGGUACAGACUCAUAGGGGAGGCAGCAGUAGGGAAUCUUCCGGAAGGGGCGAAAGCCUGACGGAGCAACGCCGAGUGAGUGAGGAAGGUCUUCGGAUCGUAAAACUCUGUUAUUAGGGAAGAAAAAAUGUGUAAGUAACUAUGCACGUCUGGACGGUACCUAAGCAGAAAGCCACGGGUAACUACGU